UAAUGCAGUCGAGCGGAAUGAUGAAGAAGCUUGCUUCUUCUGAUUUUAGCGGCGGACGGGUGAGUAACACGUGGGCAACCUACCUUGUAGAUUGGGAUAACUCCGGGAAACCGGGGCUAAUACCGAAUAAACCAUUUUGCUUCAUGGCAAGAUGUUGAAAGGCGGCUUCGGCUGUCACUACUAGAUGGGCCCGCGGCGUAUUAGCUAGUUGGUAGGGUAAUGGCCUACCAAGGCGACGAUACGUAGCCGACCUGAGAGGGUGAUCGGCCACACUGGGACUGAGACACGGCCCAGACUCCUACGGGAGGCAGCAGUAGGGAAUCUUCCACAAUGGACGAAAGUCUGAUGGAGCAACGCCGCGUGAGUGAAGAAGGUUUUCGGAUCGUAAAACUCUGUUGUAAGGGAAGAACACGUACGAGAGUAACUGCUCGUACCUUGACGGUACCUUAUUAGAAAGCCACGGCUAACUACGUGCCAGCAGCCGCGGUAAUACGUAGGUGGCAAGCGUUGUCCGGAAUUAUUGGGCGUAAAGCGCGCGCAGGCGGUUCUUUAAGUCUGAUGUGAAAGCCCACGGCUCAACCGUGGAGGGUCAUUGGAAACUGGAGAACUUGAGUACAGAAGAGGAAAGCGGAAUUCCACGUGUAGCGGUGAAAUGCGUAGAGAUGUGGAGGAACACCAGUGGCGAAGGCGGCUUUCUGGUCUGUAACUGACGCUGAGGCGCGAAAGCGUGGGGAGCAAACAGGAUUAGA
rnacentral:rRNA from 1 species